rnacentral:rRNA from 1 species
UAGAGGAAGUAAAAGUCGUAACAAGGUCUCCGUUGGUGAACCAGCGGAGGGAUCAUUACUGAGUUUACGCUCUAUAACCCUUUGUGAACAUACCUAUAACUGUUGCUUCGGCGGGUAGGGUCUCCGCGACCCUCCCGGCCUCCCGCCUCCGGGCGGGUCGGCGCCCGCCGGAGGAUAACCAAACUCUGAUUUAACGACGUUUCUUCUGAGUGGUACAAGCAAAUAAUCAAAACUUUUAACAACGGAUCUCUUGGUUCUGGCAUCGAUGAAGAACGCAGCGAAAUGCGAUAAGUAAUGUGAAUUGCAGAAUUCAGUGAAUCAUCGAAUCUUUGAACGCACAUUGCGCCCGCCAGCAUUCUGGCGGGCAUGCCUGUUCGAGCGUCAUUUCAACCCUCAAGCUCUGCUUGGUGUUGGGGCCCUACAGCUGAUGUAGGCCCUCAAAGGUAGUGGCGGACCCUCCCGGAGCCUCCUUUGCGUAGUAACUUUACGUCUCGCACUGGGAUCCGGAGGGACUCUUGCCGUAAAACCCCCCAAUUUUCCAAAGGUUGACCUCGGAUCAGGUAGGAAUACCCGCUGAACUUAAGCAUAUCA